rnacentral:piRNA from 1 species
UAUGACAGCCUUACUUACAUU